rnacentral:tRNA from 1 species
UAGAAAAAAACUUAUAAAUAAGGAAAGAGAGGGAUUCGA